rnacentral:lncRNA from 1 species
UAUUUCCAACAGAUACACCGUUAAAUAAAGAAAGAGUUGUACUCAACCCAAUCCCUGUUCGCAGUGUAGGCCGCCCACCCUCAAAGAGAAAGGUAUCUAAAGUAGAUAAAGUGGUCAAACGAUUAAGAGCGAAGAAGGAGCAGAUACCAAAAAGUACAAAUGGAGUUUCAAGUCAAAAAGGGAGAAAGGUAUCUAAAUUUAUAGUCUUUUUUUGUAGGAGCUUCUUUCUUCAUGUUAUAACUUGCUGAAGUGUGAGCACAUCCUUAUUGCAGAAAGAUAACAAAAAAUCAAAAGAUGGGCAAGAAAGUAAUCCUCUGUCGUCACAACAAAUCGAGGUAAUAUUUCAUUCAGUUGUAGUUACUAUGUUAUUUCAGAUUCUUUGCCUUGUCAUAAGGAUUUUUUUUUUCUUUAGGGAAAUGCAUAUUGUGAAGGACGUGAUGUUGGAAGCAUUUGUUUCUUUCCAAAUGAGUAUGAGGUAUUUCGUUUGAGCAGUGGUGAUUUUACAAUAUACUAUACUAGAUUAUUGAUAUAUGUGAUAAUAAAAAAUAUUACUUGUUCUUGUUCCAGGAACUCGAGACAAGUGAACCCGCUACAUCGACUCGUAUCAGCUCCUAUGUUGACAUUCUGCAAAUGCUACACUCGUACUAUCAACUAAUUGUCCAAAACUACUUGUCAAUUGCUAAUUGGGUUUUUCUGAACUUUGAAGGGAAAGAAAGAUGUCAUGGAUUUGCUAGAUGCUAACUUGAAUGGAUGAAAAAUACGCGCUCCGUAGUACCUCUGAAUCGAUUGGAUAGUUUGGCUUGUUGUACUAGAUGCAAGUGUUUAUAUUGGUCAUUGUAACCAUGAUUACACUUCUAUUUUGUGGGGGAAACCAUGAUUACCCUUGAACGCUAUGUAUCAGUGUCACUAUGUUCUCUAUUUCAGUAUCAAGUUUGUAUGACCAAAAUAUUUUCUGAAAUCUCAUAUUCAAUGAGGCAUGAUUUACAUUUUCGAUUACACUACAUAUAUAUAGUACAAUCACAGUAUAGUUCCAUAUUUGCUCUCAGUUAACAGAAGCAUGCAUCGACUACUUCUAAGCACUAAAUUUCUUACAAGGGAGCUUCUAGUAAUUUGGCACUCACGUGUGCAAUUGGAGCUUGCAUUGAGCUCCAUCCCCAACUAUGUCAACCCAACAAGGCAUCUUAUGCGGCGUUUGUUCCUACAGCCAGGCAGGUAGCGCCCUCCCUAUCUCCUUGUGCACCCUGACACCCAGUUAAGCAUCCAGCCGGCGGGAGGUCGCCGUGACUUGCGCCGCCGACUGUCCGACGAGCCUGCUGGCCUGCUAGCUCCAUCGCUCGGAAGAAACCAUGCCUUGGUCGGAGCUCAAUCGCUGAGGCUGCUCGCCUGAUGUCGCUAGGAUCUCACUCUAGUGAAAUAUUUGUACGGAUUGGUAUCAAAUCGAGCAAUGGAAGAACUAACAACUACUAGAAGACUCCGUCCAGUCCAGCACAAGCGAAG